UGUUCUGUGUCUUAGUUGGUUAAAGCGCCGGUCGUGUGAAUAUGGAGUCAUGGGUUCGAAUCCCACCAGAACAC
rfam:Aedes albopictus isolate Foshan contig75293, whole genome shotgun sequence.